AAGACUAUACUUUCAGAGAUUACUUAUGUGGUUUAUUACUAGAGGGGUUUUUCUGAACAUGUAGAGUAGUGGAAGCUAUAAUGGAAGAGGUGUAGUGUUCUCUUCUGAGCGUUAAGGCGGUUAUUGGUGUUACUUUCGUGCAACAUGUUGUUAGCUAUUGAUUGUUGUUCUCUUCGAUUUGGAGAGUAAGGAGAGAACACAGUCUGAGUGGU